GACGAACGCUGGCGGCGUGCUUAACACAUGCAAGUGGAGCGACGAACCAGGGCUUGCCCUGGGGCAGAGCCGCGAACGGGUGAGUAACACGUGGGUAACCUGCCCAGAUGACCGGGACAACCCGAGGAAACUCGGGCUAAUACCGGAUGGGUUCAUUCCACAUCAGCGGGAUGAGGAAAGGAAGCUUCGGCCUCCGCAUCUGGCUGGGCCCGCGGCCCAUUAGCUAGUUGGUGAGGUAAUGGCUCACCAAGGCUUCGAUGGGUAGCUGUUCUGAGAGGAAGAUCAGCCACACUGGGACUGAGACACGGCCCAGACUCCCACGGGAGGCAGCAGUGGGGAAUCUUGCGCAAUGCGCGAAAGCGUGACGCAGCAACGCCGCGUGCGGGAAGACGGCCUUCGGGUUGUAAACCGCUUUCAGUUGGGACGAAGCUUCGCCGGUGAAUAGCCGGCCGGAGUGACGGUACCUUCAGAAGAAGCCCCGGCUAACUACGUGCCAGCCGCCGCCGUAACAC
rnacentral:rRNA from 1 species